GUCAGGUCUAGGGUGCUGGAUCGAGGGUAGGAGAGGAAGGUGGAGGAUGUGAGAGGCAGCGUGUGGUAUAAUAGGCCUGGUUGGCAUUGUUUUGUGAGUCGGAUGUAGGUGUCAGGAUGCUAGAUGUGGUGGGCGGGGUCUGAGGUACUAGGACUAAGGGUGCAGAGCUAUUAAUAUGACAGGCCCUUCUCGGGUUGUGGGGAUGCAGCCAGAGAAACCGAGUCCUGAGGGCUCCUGUUUCAGAGGGCCAUCUGUCAUAUCCCUCCAAGUAAAAGCUCAGCUUUGGGGCUAAUGUGACGGGAUGGUAACAGGAGUCCUGGAAUGGGGCUUGAUGCUAGGCCUCCUGGUGCCCGUACAGGACAGGACACGCCUCCCUCCGAUGCUCUGGGUCUGCAGUGAACCGUUAGGCAAAGAACUGUUUUCAGAAAGCUUUCCGAUGUCUAAUACUGGGGCUGAAAGCCAGGGCUUGGCACAUGCUGGGUGAGUGCUUCACCUCAGAGCCACACCUGCAGCCCAGAGGAUUCCCAGUCACCAUUCCGAAGUCUACAGUUGACCUGUCCUUCGGGAAACCGAAACGUGUAAAAGAAAAAAACAACUGGGAGAGAGUUGGAGGUGAGUGUAAAAGCUUUAAGGAAAAAUUCAUGAAGUGUCUCCGCGACAAGAACUAUGAAAAUGCUCUGUGCAGAAAUGAAUCUAAAGAGUAUUUAAUGUGCAGGAUGCAAAGGCAGCUGAUGGCACCAGAACCACUAGAGAAACUCGGCUUUAGAGACAUAAUGGAGGAGAAACCGGAGGCAAAGGACAAAUGUUGAGAAUCACUGGGCUGUGUCCCCCUACCUGGAGCAGAGCUGAGCCCUUCUGCCCACCGUGGAGAGAGCUGAGCCAUCCUGUGCUGCCCAGAGGAGGGGCUCUCCGUGUUGACUUUGGCUCAUCCC
rnacentral:lncRNA from 1 species